UGCCAGCCGCCGCGGUAAUACGGAGGGUGCAAGCGUUAAUCGGAAUUACUGGGCGUAAAGCGUGUGUAGGCGGUCUGCUAAGUCGGAUGUGAAAGCCCCGGGCUUAACCUGGGAAUUGCAUUCGAUACUGGUAGACUUGAAUUUGGUAGAGGAAAGUGGAAUUCCGGGUGUAGCGGUGAAAUGCGUAGAUAUCCGGAGGAACAUCAGUGGCGAAGGCGGCUUUCUGGACCAAAAUUGACGCUGAGGCACGAAAGCGUGGGUAGCAAACAGGAUUAGAUA
rnacentral:rRNA from 1 species